rnacentral:rRNA from 1 species
GGGAGGCAGCAGUGGGGAAUAUUGCACAAUGGGCGCAAGCCUGAUGCAGCCAUGCCGCGUGUAUGAAGAAGGCCUUCGGGUUGUAAAGUACUUUCAGCAGUGAGGAAGGUGGAUAUGUUAAUAGCAUAUUCAUUUGACGUUAGCUGCAGAAGAAGCACCGGCUAACUCCGUGCCAGCAGCCGCGGUAAUACGGAGGGUGCGAGCGUUAAUCGGAAUUACUGGGCGUAAAGCGCAUGCAGGUGGUUUGUUAAGUCAGAUGUGAAAGCCCGGGGCUCAACCUCGGAAUUGCAUUUGAAACUGGCAAACUAGAGUACUGUAGAGGGGGUAGAAUUUCAGGUGUAGCGGUGAAAAUGCGUAGAGAUCUGAAGGAAUACCGGUGGCGAAGGCGGCCCCCUGGACAGAUACUGACACUCAGAUGCGAAAGCGUGGGGAGCAAACAGGAUUAGAUACCCUGGUAG